rnacentral:rRNA from 1 species
GAUGAACGCUGGCGGCGUGCCUAAUACAUGCAAGUCGAGCGAACGGACGAGAAGCUUGCUUCUCUGAUGUUAGCGGCGGACGGGUGAGUAACACGUGGAUAACCUACCUAUAAGACUGGGAUAACUUCGGGAAACCGUAGCUAAUACCGGAUAAUAUUUUGAACCGCAUGGUUCAAAAGUGAAAGACGGUCUUGCUGUCACUUAUAGAUGGAUCCGCGCUGCAUUAGCUAGUUGGUAAGGUAACGGCUUACCAAGGCAACGAUGCAUAGCCGACCUGAGAGGGUGGUCGGCCACACAGGAACUGAGACACGGUCCAGACUCCUACGGGAGGCAGCAGUAGGGAAUCUUCCGCAAUGGGCGAAAGCCUGACGGAGCAACGCCGCGGGAGUGAUGAAGGUCUUCGGAUCGUAAAACUCUGUUAUUAGGGAAAAACAUAUGUGUAAGUAACUGUGCAAAUCUUGACGGUACCUAAGCAGAAAGCCACGGCUAACUACGG